rnacentral:rRNA from 1 species
UCUGGUUGAUCCUGCCAGUAGUUAUAUGCUUGUCUCAAAGAUUAAGCCAUGCAUGUCUAAGUACACACGAAUUAAAAGUGAAACCGCAAAAGGCUCAUUAUAUCAGUUAUGGUUCCUUAGAUCGUUAACAGUUACUUGGAUAACUGUGGUAAUUCUAGAGCUAAUACAUGCAAUUAAAACAUGAACCUUAUGGGACAUGUGCUUUUAUUAGGCUAAAACCAAGCGAUCGCAAGAUCGUUAUAUUGGUUGAACUCUAGAUAACAUGCAGAUCGUAUGGUCUUGUACCGACGACAGAUCUUUCAAAUGUCUGCCCUAUCAACUUUUGAUGGUAGUAUCUAGGACUACCAUGGUUGCAACGGGUAACGGGGAAUCAGGUUCGAUUCCGGAGAGGGAGCCUGAGAAACGGCUACCACAUCUAAGGAAGGCAGCAGGCGCGUAAAUUACCCACUCCCAGCUCGGGGAGGUAGUGACGAAAAAUAACAAUACAGGACUCAUAUCCGAGGCCCUGUAAUUGGAAUGAGUACACUUUAAAUCCUUUAACAAGGACCAAUUGGAGGGCAAGUCUGGUGCCAGCAGCCGCGGUAAUUCCAGCUCCAAUAGCGUAUAUUAAAGUUGUUGCGGUUAAAACGUUCGUAGUUGAACUUGUGCUUCAUACGGGUAGUACAACUUACAAUUGUGGUUAGUACUAUACCUUUAUGUAUGUAAGCGUAUUACCGGUGGAGUUCUUAUAUGUGAUUAAAUACUUGUAUUUUUUCAUAUGUUCCUCCUAUUUAAAAACCUGCAUUAGUGCUCUUAAACGAGUGUUAUUGUGGGCCGGUACUAUUACUUUGAACAAAUUAGAGUGCUUAAAGCAGGCUUCAAAUGCCUGAAUAUUCUGUGCAUGGGAUAAUGAAAUAAGACCUCUGUUCUGCUUUCAUUGGUUUUCAGAUCAAGAGGUAAUGAUUAAUAGAAGCAGUUUGGGGGCAUUAGUAUUACGACGCGAGAGGUGAAAUUCUUGGACCGUCGUAAGACUAACUUAAGCGAAAGCAUUUGCCAAAGAUGUUUUCAUUAAUCAAGAACGAAAGUUAGAGGUUCGAAGGCGAUCAGAUACCGCCCUAGUUCUAACCAUAAACGAUGCCAGCUAGCAAUUGGGUGUAGCUACUUUUUAUGGCUCUCUCAGUCGCUUCCCGGGAAACCAAAGCUUUUGGGCUCCGGGGGAAGUAUGGUUGCAAAGCUGAAACUUAAAGGAAUUGACGGAAGGGCACCACCAGGAGUGGAGCCUGCGGCUUAAUUUGACUCAACACGGGAAAACUUACCAGGUCCGAACAUAAGUGUGUAAGACAGAUUGAUAGCUCUUUCUCGAAUCUAUGGUGGUGGUGCAUGGCCGUUCUUAGUUCGUGGAGUGAUUUGUCUGGUUAAUUCCGAUAACGAACGAGACUCAAAUAUAUUAAAUAGAUAUCUUCAGGAUUAUGGUGCUGAAGCUUAUGUAGCCUUCAUUCAUGUUGGCAGUAAAAUGCUUAUUGUGUUUGAAUGUGUUUAUGUAAGUGGAGCCGUACCUGUUGGUUUGUCCCAUUAUAAGGACACUAGCUUCUUAAAUGGACAAAUUGCGUCUAGCAAUAAUGAGAUUGAGCAAUAACAGGUCUGUGAUGCCCUUAGAUGUCCUGGGCUGCACGCGCGCUACAAUGAAAGUAUCAACGUGUAUUUCCUAGACCGAGAGGUCCGGGUAAACCGCUGAACCACUUUCAUGCUUGGGAUUGUGAACUGAAACUGUUCACAUGAACUUGGAAUUCCCAGUAAGUGUGAGUCAUUAACUCGCAUUGAUUACGUCCCUGCCCUUUGUACACACCGCCCGUCGCUACUACCGAUUGAAUUAUUUAGUGAGGUCUCCGGACGUGAUCACUGUGACGCCUUGCGUGUUACGGUUGUUUCGCAAAAGUUGACCGAACUUGAUUAUUUAGAGGAAGUAAAAGUCGUAACAAGGUUUCCGUAGGUGAACCUGCGGAAG